rnacentral:lncRNA from 1 species
UGAUUUUACAUCGAAACCAGUUAAAUUGUCAGAAAAAUCAACUGUCAGCAUGUCAAAAAAUCGUUGGCUAUGCAAAUGCACAACAUUGGCUGGGAUAAAUGAUGGUGGAAAAUGCAGAGGAAAAUGCGUUCCAUCGGGCCAAACAAAACACUGUGCUCUGUGCGUGUGUCUUUCUAUCGGAUUGCUAAUGCCAACAAACUAGGGACAGAUAAAAUUGGAUUUUCUCAAUUCAAACUCAUUUCGCAGUGAAGCAGGGAGGAGCAGUCGGGCCUUAUGGUAGACCACAGGCAGUCGUAGAAGCGGCACCUGAUCCACCUGUGAUGUCAGAGCUCUCUAAUUGGCUGGCUACCACGCUGGCUGGCCACUCAAAUUACCUAAUUAUGAAACGAAAUAUGGAAUUCUCUCCCAAUCCCAGUCCCAAUCAAUUGGCCAGACCUUUGUUCGGCCACAACAAUGAUUUUCAGAGCCAGUGCGACCGCAAGGCACAAUGGACAACAACAAAAGAGGAACGACAAGGCACUGCACGGCACGGCACGGCACGGCACGGAACGAAACUUCAUCCAACUGUCAAGACAAUGGGACGUUCGUUGAAAUGUUGAGCAGCCUAUAGAUAUUCGUAAUCGCAGCAUAACCCAACCCAAGCCACAGUCAGAGCCCCGAACUGACCAGACAUGGACAUUGCAUUCAAAUUGUUCAAAUUGUGUGUGAGUGCGAGCUGUCAACAGUGUUUAAUUUUCGGGGGCUCAGGGGCUGCUCUCCUGUCGUGUCGUGUCGUGUCGUGCCGUGCCGUGCCGUGCCACAUGCAACAGACCAGAAGAGACGCCAGUACCGAAUCCCGAGUCCAAGUCCAACUCUGACUGUGGAAUCGAAGUCGUGCGACCUGGCCCAAAACCGCAAUGCACUUUGACCAGGAAGGGCAACAACGAAGCCUCGCAUUAUUACUAUCCUGCGGUGAGGUGGAGUCUCCUUCUUCCAGCUCCUGCUCCUGCUCCUGCUCCUGGUUAGCAACUCAACAAGCUAACAAAUUAACAUGCUGUCCUUGCAUGUGUGUUCUGGCUGUUUUGGCUUUUUGGUCAGUCGCUGGAAUGUCACGCAAAUGCCAAGUAACGGUGGGGCGUCCUUUUCCUGUCCAGCAUGGUCGGGGGCUCAGGCUCCUGGCAAAGGUAUCCUCUCCAGUGGUGUCCUUUUGCAUGCAAAUGCACACAAUUCGAUUGCAGUCGCCGUGCCUGCGGCUGUUUAAUAGCCACACCUGUUCAAUUAGUCAAUGUAACCACAAAUUCUGGUUAAAUUAUCGCAUUAAAAUGUUCGUGCCUAA